rnacentral:rRNA from 1 species
GACGAACGCUGGCGGCGUGCUUAACACAUGCAAGUCGAACGGUGAAGGGGUCUGCUUUUGUGGGCCCUGGAUGAGUGGCGAACGGGUGAGUAACACGUGAGUAACCUGCCCCCUUCUUCUGGAUAACCGCAUGAAAGUGUGGCUAAUACGGGAUAUUCUGGGUCUGUCGCAUGAUGGGUCUGGGAAAGAUUGCGCCUUUGGGUGUUUUUGGUGGGGGAUGGGCUCGCGGCCUAUCAGCUUGUUGGUGGGGUGAUGGCCUACCAAGGCGGUGACGGGUAGCCGGCCUGAGAGGGUGGACGGUCACACUGGGACUGAGACACGGCCCAGACUCCUACGGGAGGCAGCAGUGGGGAAUAUUGCACAAUGGGCGCAAGCCUGAUGCAGCGACGCCGCGUGAGGGAUGGAGGCCUUCGGGUUGUAAACCUCUUUCGCCAGUGAAGCAGGCCUGCUCCUUAUGGGUGGGUUGACGGUAGCUGGAUAAGAAGCGCCGGCUAACUACGUG